UCCAGCGCACUCACCUAUCCACUAAACAGCAACUUCAAAGUUGAAAGAUUUUAUUUGUUUUUUUUUAAAAAUGGGGUACAUUGACGUUGUGGCAGGCUUAUGCUAUGUAUGAUCAUAUAAUAUAACUAAACCCCCAUUAUUUUUGCCUAGAUUAGGUGUUUUUAAAAAAAACAAAUAAAAUCUUUCAACUUUGAAGUUGCUGUUUAGUGGAUAGGUGAGUGCGCUGGA